CUCUGGGCCACAGUACAGUAACAGUUACAUUGUAGCGGAAACUCCAGCAUGAGUGUGUCAUUGUCCCCCCUCGGGGGGCUUCCACCAACGCUCCUGUUAACCGCUCUAAUCGCACUGAUUGGCUGGAGUCCAGCAUCAUGUUCAGUGGUGCUGGAAAUGACGCGAAAUUACCAGUGUCCAGAGAAGGGAUGGGUGACUCUCACCUAUGAGCACAACAUCAGCCACUGUCAGCAGAGCUGGGAUUGGAACCAAACGAGGAUCGCAAUUUACGACCAUCAGGAGCAGUGUAUAACACCGUGUGUCAAGGUGUAUUCUGGCAAGUUGUUUCUAUACACCUGUGAGAAUGUCACCCUCACCUUCUUCUGCCUGACCAGUGCACAGGAUGUGAAUGAGACCAGGGUCCAUUUCAUUGGGAUCAUCUCUAGGAAGCAAGAAUACAAGAACCACCCAGUCACAGUGAAAGGUGAUGAGAGCCCUGCUGGACCUCCUGGGGACCCAGAUAGCAGCGGAUCAUCGGUGGCCACCAGUGGAGCUCGGACCUUUGUGCCUACGGUCGUCGUCGUCGUCGCCAUUGUCGUCAUUGUCUUCGUCGUCAUUGUCAUCGCGGCACUGUACCAUCGCCGCCGGCAACAGCAACACGCUCAACCUGUCCCCCAUGACAACCUCUUGUGAACAUGGCUGGUGACAGACACUCUGUGACGACUGCAAUUGGAGCACGUCUGCCUUUCAUCGAGCAUUCGGGCGAAUGUGGUUUUAUGCAGGAGAGUAGAGAAAACAUUCGUCGUAGAAGUAAUCUUACGUUGCAGCGAUAAGCUGUAAAUCUUCAGCGGCUGCUUUGGGGUUUCAUUCUCGCUGUUUCCUGAGCUGCUACCUGGUGUCAAGGGCUAACUAACCAUUUUCGGAGAAGGAGUCGUGUCGCUGGUAGGGAUUCAACCAGUUUGAUAAGACAGACCUCGGGAUGGGAGGCUUUACUUGAGCAGGGGGCCCCGGGGGGUCCUGUGGUCUGAACCCACAGUUAGGGGACACGUGUCCCAGGUGCCUUGAUUCAGCUCAGGCAGCAUCAUCGCUGCGCUUCUCGGUGCCAUUCAUAGUGAGGCCUUCAUUCCUUUUGGUGUGUUUACACCCCUCACCGUGGUAUUCUGUAGAGGUUUCUAUAUAUGGAGUUUCUGAAUGUAUGACGUGUUGAAUGUGUGGAUGUGAAUAUUGGCUUCAUUGGUGUGAAUGAAGGAGCUCAUCUACUUCCCAAAGCUACUGUAAAUGCCAGUAUGGUGCUGUUCCACAACUCGGGGGGGGUCCGCAACCAAGAGGAGCCACAUUUGUGGACAAAAUUUCUUUGUUUUUCAUGGCCAGUUUUUCCAGUACAUUCCAAAAGGGAAACUGGGUGGUUGAACAUUUUAAUGUUAGAUGCUGGUAACUUCAGAAGCAAAAAGCACUGAGUUGGAUAUGAGAUUAACUUAAGAGCAGCUGUAGGUAUUUUGGCUGCUAACAAUCCUGCAAUAAAGUCGCUGGAGUCCAGUAUGAAUUGUGCUCA
rnacentral:lncRNA from 1 species